GGGGCGAAGCUCCCGAGAAGACAGACUUCGAGAUCGCUGCUGCAGAAGUCGUCGUUGCGGCCGAGGCAGGCGAUGAGGCUGGAGUCCCACUGGGAGCGGGUGACAGGCUCGCCGAGGACGCUGCCGUGGCCGAAAGGGAGGCCGUCGGCAGUCCACUCGGCUGGCAAUUUCGCCGGCGAGACGGCCGGAGGCGCAGGGGAGACAUUGGGGGCCGCGACGGCGGCGUGAUCGUGAUUAUUGAGGAGGGGGCUAGAUUCUUCGAGAUUCG
rnacentral:misc_RNA from 1 species